rnacentral:rRNA from 1 species
UACAGAGGUCUCAAGCGUUGUUCGGAUUCAUUGGGCGUAAAGGGCGCGUAGGUGGCGCCGUAAGUCAGGUGUGAAAUCUCGGGGCUUAACUCCGAAACUGCAUUUGAUACUGCGGUGCUUGAGGACUGGAGAGGAGACUGGAAUUUAUGGUGUAGCAGUGAAAUGCGUAGAUAUCAUAAGGAAGACCAGUGGCGAAGGCGGGUCUCUGGACAGUUCCUGACACUGAGACACGAAGGCCAGGGGAGCAAACGGG